rnacentral:snRNA from 1 species
GUGGUAGCUUUAGUAGCACAUACACUAAAACUGGAACACUACAGAGAAGAUUAGCAUGGCCCCUGCACAAGGGUGACACACAAAUUAAUGAAGUGUUCCAUAUUUUU